UCUGGAAAUGUUGUGGGACUACGACUUCGAACAAGAGGAGCUAAUUCGAAAGCUUUUAAAGUAACUUUAACACCAGUCGCUUCAAUUUGUGGUCCAUUUUAUUUAAAUGUAACAGAAGAAAUUAAAACUUUGGUUUCGCCUGGAUAUCCACACAAAUAUCCCAGUGACUUGAGCUGUACAUGGAUUCUCAAGGGAUAUUCACGAUUUGUUAUUCGAUUUAUUGAUUUUGAUAUGAAUGAAGAAAAUAACCAGUAUGUUGUGAAUAAUGUUUGUAGUGAAGACAAACUGGAGAUUGUUGAUAAUUUGGGUUCUCUGUACUCAACUAACGAUCCGGGUCCUUCAUUCACAGUUUACGGUGACAGAAAGUUAACAACUGAUUUUUUGAGAUACGAAUUUCUGACUGGUAGCCAUCAGUUUUGUGGCAAAUCUGAAAAACCAUUUGAUUACUAUUCUCAGUUUUACCAAUUAAAGAUUAAAUUUAAAUCAGGAAAUCUAGACAAGGAUCGUGGU